rnacentral:rRNA from 1 species
AGCAUGGGGCGGCUACACAUGCAGUCGAGCGGUAGCACAGAGAGCUUGCUCUCGGGUGACGAGCGGCGGACGGGUGAGUAAUGUCUGGGAAACUGCCUGAUGGAGGGGGAUAACUACUGGAAACGGUAGCUAAUACCGCAUAACGUCGCAAGACCAAAGUGGGGGACCUUCGGGCCUCAUGCCAUCAGAUGUGCCCAGAUGGGAUUAGCUAGUAGGUGGGGUAACGGCUCACCUAGGCGACGAUCCCUAGCUGGUCUGAGAGGAUGACCAGCCACACUGGAACUGAGACACGGUCCAGACUCCUACGGGAGGCAGCAGUGGGGAAUAUUGCACAAUGGGCGCAAGCCUGAUGCAGCCAUGCCGCGUGUGUGAAGAAGGCCUUCGGGUUGUAAAGCACUUUCAGCGGGGAGGAAGGCGUUAAGGUUAAUAACCUUGGCGAUUGACGUUACCCGCAGAAGAAGCACCGGCUAACUCCGUGCCAGCAGCCGCGGUAAUACGGAGGGUGCAAGCGUUAAUCGGAAUUACUGGGCGUAAAGCGCACGCAGGCGGUCUGUCAAGUCGGAUGUGAAAUCCCCGGGCUCAACCUGGGAACUGCAUUCGAAACUGGCAGGCUAGAGUCUUGUAGAGGGGGGUAGAAUUCCAGGUGUAGCGGUGAAAUGCGUAGAGAUCUGGAGGAAUACCGGUGGCGAAGGCGGCCCCCUGGACAAAGACUGACGCUCAGGUGCGAAAGCGUGGGGAGCAAACAGGAUUAGAUACCCUGGUAGUCCACGCCGUAAACGAUGUCGAUUUGGAGGUUGUGCCCUUGAGGCGUGGCUUCCGGAGCUAACGCGUUAAAUCGACCGCCUGGGGAGUACGGCCGCAAGGUUAAAACUCAAAUGAAUUGACGGGGGCCCGCACAAGCGGUGGAGCAUGUGGUUUAAUUCGAUGCAACGCGAAGAACCUUACCUGGUCUUGACAUCCACAGAACUUUCCAGAGAUGGAUUGGUGCCUUCGGGAACUGUGAGACAGGUGCUGCAUGGCUGUCGUCAGCUCGUGUUGUGAAAUGUUGGGUUAAGUCCCGCAACGAGCGCAACCCUUAUCCUUUGUUGCCAGCGGUUCGGCCGGGAACUCAAAGGAGACUGCCAGUGAUAAACUGGAGGAAGGUGGGGAUGACGUCAAGUCAUCAUGGCCCUUACGACCAGGGCUACACACGUGCUACAAUGGCAUAUACAAAGAGAAGCGACCUCGCGAGAGCAAGCGGACCUCAUAAAGUAUGUCGUAGUCCGGAUUGGAGUCUGCAACUCGACUCCAUGAAGUCGGAAUCGCUAGUAAUCGUAGAUCAGAAUGCUACGGUGAAUACGUUCCCGGGCCUUGUACACACCGCCCGUCACACCAUGGGAGUGGGUUGCAAAAGAAGUAGGUAGCUUAACCUUCGGGAGGGCGCUACCACUUGAUCCGGG